AGUCCUGGAGGAGAGAGAGAUUUCUCAACAGCAUGGGGGCCAGAUGAUUUCUGUAUGAACAGAGCAGAAGGUACAGCACAAGGAAAUGCAAUUGUCAGAUGAGUAUAGAAACAAGGAUAAAAUUCAGACAUGAACUAUCCAUUUGUUUAGUGUUUCUUUCAAGAACUCGAGGGGGGGGAAAGGUGGCUUCAUUGCAGGUUUUGUACUUGCGAACUGUUCUGAAACUUGUCAUCCAGAACCGGUGUCAAAACUUUUAUUCUGCGUGCAAGAUUCAUUCAGUAUCCUAUUACAGGGUCUCUGUUUCAAGCAUUAACAACAGCACUGCAAACUUGCGUUCUGAGGGCUCGUGUGACAAGCAGAGAUGGUCAGCUGUAUCUGCAGUGGCAGGUCAAAACACAGGCAAGAGGCUGGAGAACAAUCUCUCACCUAGAAAGUAUGGCUCCCAGAGAGAGACAGUAAAUAAAAUCGGCCCCAAAAGGAUGCAGCAGUGAUUGGCCUUGAGCUACAGGUCCUCUAUUGUUUUACUGGGGUAUGCCCAUUUCACGCCAGGUCUCACUUCAUGAUGUUUUUUAAGCACUGAUACAGCUCUUUGUACCCUGCACAAGGAAGUGUUCUUUGUUUUUAACUCAAAUUUGCUGCCUAGAACCGCAACACCCAGCUUUCCCAUGGGGUUUUCCUCAACUGAAAGUGCACUAAGCUCAAGCUUUCUGUACAGAAAUGAAAUCAGAAGCUCAUUUCUACACGCCCUCACCCUUUUUCAGGUCAGCCCCUGUCUGAAAAGCAAGUCAGGCCAGAGCCCGUGACCUGCUUUUAGGACACGUGCUGAAGUGAUUUAUUUGCACACGCCACCCAGCAGCCCCAACCCCAGCUCCUUUCUUCCUGUUCCCCAACGCCCCCAUCGUGCUGCUCCCGGUCCCUCCAGCAGCAGCCGCCCUUCCCGCCCCGCCCCCUCCCUUCUCCCAUUGGCUCCCCCAGCUCCCGCUGAGCCGCUUGAUUUGCUGUGCUGCCUGUCAAUCAAUGCCCCGGCGUGGACACCGCCUCGGGAGACCUUCAAACACGUCAUCUCGGCAUCCGCGGGCAUUUCCUGUGCAGCCGCUCUAGGCGCUCACCUGGGGUAUCUAUCGCUGCGGCCGCCGCCGCUCUGGGCUGCGGGCGCUGCCUCGGUGACCGCGGGCUGGUGGCGGCGGGGUGGAGGAGGCCGGGCCGGGGGGGCUCCGGCCUCACGGGAGGCUCCGGUCGCACGGGCCUUCGCGGGGAGGCUGGAGACCGAGCCCCCGUGGCAGCCCUGUGGGUUGGGCCCGGACACGGGCAGGGCCGGCGCUGGCAGGUCCCGGGGGCGGGCGGGCGGGCGGGCGGUGAGCCUGCUGGCAUCGGUCCCGGGCCCUGCUUGUGAGAAAAAGAACUUGUGGUUCUCCUUUAACGGCCUGCCCGGGCUGCGCAGUGUCGUGAGAUCCGCCGGUGUGCUUCCUCCCGGUGCCUGCCUACCUGAGCAUGCAAGGAGGCUGCAAGGCUUCCAGCUAGGCCCAAAGCGUAAGAACAGUUUCUUCAGAAUUGCAAUUUUCUCCCAUAGUCAAGACAUUACUCACAGAAAGAAGAAAGUGAGACUCUGACAGUCAACACACAUCUUACAUGCAAACCCAGUAAGCUGAUAGACAGUACAAGAGAAGGGGCAUGCAAAGAAGAGCAGGUACUUGACUGACCAUGAUUAAGAGAGAAAACCUUGCCUGGUUUUGAAAUUUGAAAUGUGAGCAAGAUAUUGCUCACAAGCAAAUUUUCUUCUGUAUUUCAGAUCUAAUUCUUGAAGCAGAAGAAUUUUUUACUUAAGAAGAAGAAGUUAUUCUACUUAAAGGUAUGUUAACAGAGACAACAGUGUUAUUACAGUCCCUGUUAUUUUUUCUUUUAGAGGAUGGAUGGAAAUAUUAAUUCUUUUACAGAAGUAAAAGCUCUCUUUUGGCAUUUUAUAAGCAGAUGAUAUUCUGCUAGUGACUGUCAUUUUAGUAAUAUGUUGGUCUAAAUUCUGAAUUCUGUUAUUUCACAUCUACAGCAACUGAAAGUAUAUUUUUUUUAUAAACAGCAAACUUCACCUCAUAAAAAUUCAUUACAUAAGGGCAUAAACAAGUACUUUUCCUUCCAGUCAUUGGCAGUAAGUGAUUCAUCAGUUUUCCACAGAAAACCAAUUUCAUUGCAGAUGUUCUGUAAUUUCCAGACUCCCUGAAUUGUAGAAUCAUAUCAUUCAAUCCUAGUGCAAGGAAUGCAGG
ensembl:lncRNA